UACGUAGGGGGCAAGCGUUGUCCGGAAUCAUUGGGCGUAAAGAGCGUGUAGGCGGCCCGAUAAGUCCGCUGUGAAAGUCCAGGGCUCAACCCUGGAAUGCCGGUGGAUACUGUCGGGCUCGAAUCCGGAAGAGGUGAGUGGAAUUCCUGGUGUAGCGGUGAAAUGCGCAGAUAUCAGGAGGAACACCAAUGGCGAAGGCAGCUCACUGGGACGGUAUUGACGCUGAGACGUGAAAGCGUGGGGAGCGAACAGG
rnacentral:rRNA from 1 species